rnacentral:ncRNA from 1 species
AUAUAAGCUGUGAAAGGUAAUAGUAGAUAUUUAAGGCUUACAGAGAGGAAAUCCUAGGCUGAGAGAUUUCUAGCCCUCUGAAUAUUGAACCCGGCCUGGAGCUUCUAGACUGAAAAAAAGUAAGUUUAGACGGUGUUAGCCGUUAUAAAAUUAAGUGAGCCAAUGAAAUGUAUUAAUUGGUUAAAUAGGGUGGUACCGCGGAUAAACUUCGUCCCUUUU